rnacentral:lncRNA from 1 species
UGAUACAAUAGAAGAAAUGGGAAAGAAGGAAAAUACGGUGAACUAUACAUAAGGAAAACCUAAAACAGCGUGCUGUUGAAGCGAAGGGCCUUAAUCAUAUAUCGUCUGAAAGGUUGAGGAAGAACGUAAAGCCUAAAACAACAACUAGAAUUCGGUGAACUAUACGUAAGGAAAACCUAAAACAGGGUGCUGUUGAAGCAAAGGGCCUUAUCGUUGUAAUAUCGUCUGAAAGGUUGAG